AGGGAGUGCGACCUCGCUGCUGAGUUAGCCUGGCUCUUGAGCCGGGCUGAUAGAAACUCCCCCAAUCCCCACUUGUUUCUGUGUUUAGGGUUUGGCAAACUGGUGUUUUCACUCUCAGGGGCUAGCUCCAUUUGUCUGGCCACUUUUCUGACUACAGUGCUGGGUACUGCACCUUUACAACAAGGCUGUGAGGGCUGAGCACUCAGAGGCAGAGGCUGGGGGAUCCCUGAGUUCAAGGCUACCCAGGGCUACGCAUUCCAACUCAUCUUCAGCUCUACUGAAAGCUGACAGCUCAGUCUUGAAAACCCAAAGCUCUGCUCCUGCUAUCAGGAGGAUUCCUGCAUCCAUUUAUUGUAUCCUCCAUUCCAGACUGGACUCCUAAACCAUGCCACGCCCUAUCUGGGCACCAGGGCUAACAAGCUCUGCCCAGUGUGGAAUCAGAGUCUCCUCCUGGCUGCUUUCAAGAUGCAGAACUCUCCGCUCUCUCCAGCACCAUGUCUGCUUGCACGCUGCCAUGCUUCUCCCCAUGGUGAUAAUGGACUGAACCUCUGAAACUGGCCCAAGAGGACAUUCAGUCCCAAGACGUGUUCAUGGGCAAAGCUUGCCAAUGUUGCAAGAAGCGGCUGCUGUAAGCAGGCAGGCUGCAGACCUUUGCACACGGCACUGCCUCUCAUAGGCAGGCAACUUAAGUGCUCACUGCCUAUGGGAAGCUGUGCUGUGCUGUCUGGAGCUGGCUGAGGCAAGGCACGUGAGCUUGAGUGGAGCACGUGCAGGGCCACUGUCAUUAUGGAAAUCCUGACUCUGAAGGCUAAUUCUGCGUCUAAAUGAGUUGAAAUGAAAUGCAAAGAACACAUCCAUCACUCCAGUUCACCCUUGUUCAGCCUCGCAUCUCAUUACUGUGCUACUCUGCCUAUGUAUUAUGAAUUAAUAUAUUUAAUAAAUUCUGUAAUUAUCUUGUGAACAGU